CCUACGGGGAGCAGCAGUGAGGAAUAUUGGUCAAUGGCCGGAAGGCUGAACCAGCCAUGCCGCGUGAAGGUCAGUGCCCUAUGGGCGUUAAACUUCUUUUGUGCGGGAGCAAUAAUGGUCACGUGUGGCCAGACGAGAGUACCGUACGAAUAAGCAUCGGCUAACUCCGUGCCAGCAGCCGCGGUAAUACGGGGGAUGCAAGCGUUAUCCGGAUUUAUUGGGUUUAAAGGGUGCGUAGGCUGUGAGGUAAGUCAGCGGUGAAAUGCCCCCGCUCAACGGGGUGAAGUGCCAUUGAUACUGCCUGGCUGGAAGGCGGAUGCCGUGGGAGGAAUGUGUGGUGUAGCGGUGAAAUGCAUAGAUAUCACACAGAACACCGAUUGCGAAGGCAUCUCACGAAGCCGCGAUUGACGCUGAUGCACGAAAGCGUGGGUAUCAAACAGGAUUAGAUACCCUUGUAGUC
rnacentral:rRNA from 1 species